GAUGAACGCUGGCGGCGUGCCUAACACAUGCAAGUCGAGCGGAGAUACUUGAUAAGCUUGCUUAAUGAGUAUCUUAGCGGCGGAUGGGUGAGGAACGCGUGGAGAACCUGCCCUUCACAGGGGGAUAACAGCUGGAAACGGCUGUUAAUACCGCAUAUGCUCACAGCGCCGCAUGGCGCAGGGAGGAAAGCGCACAGUGGUGAAGGAUGGCUCCGCGUCGGAUUAGCCGGUUGGCGGGGUAACGGCCCACCAAAGCGAUGAUCCGUAGCCGGCCUGAGAGGGCGACCGGCCACAUUGGGACUGAGACACGGCCCAAACUCC
rnacentral:rRNA from 1 species